rnacentral:rRNA from 1 species
UGAGGAACAUGACCUUCGGCGGGGGAUAGCCGGCCCAACGGCCGGGUAAUACCGCGUACGACCUUUCGGGGACAUCCCUGGAUGGUGAAAGCAGCAAUGCGCCGAUGGAGUGCCUCGCGGCCUAUCAGCUAGUUGGUGAGGUAACGGCUCACCAAGGCGACGACGGGUAGCUGGUCUGAGAGGAUGAUCAGCCACACGUGGGACUGAGACACGGCCCAGACCUCCGUAGGGACGG